rnacentral:rRNA from 1 species
GUUUGAUCCUGGCUCCGAGUGAAUGCUCAACGCAUGCUUAAUACAUGCCAGUCAAAGGAGUUUUUUUAGUAAAAUUACUUGGCGUACCGGUGAGUAUUAAUAUGAGAAAUUAACCCGCAAAUUUGUAUUAAAGCGUGAAGACCUUUAUUAAUCCGAAGCG